rnacentral:rRNA from 1 species
UAAAUAGCCAGGCCGUCUUUGGAUGGUCGCCGGCUUCUUAGAGGGACUGUCAGCGUCUAGCUGACGGAAGUUUGAGGCAAUAACAGGUCUGUGAUGCCCUUAGAUGUUCUGGGC